rnacentral:rRNA from 1 species
AGAGAGAGACAUGCGCGCAUAUCAAUAAGCGGAGGAAAAGAAACUAACAAGGAUUCCCCUAGUAACGGCGAGUGAAGCGGGAAGAGCUCAAAUUUGAAAUCUUAAAGGGUUUCCCUUUACGAAUUGUAGUUUAAAGAAGUGUUUUCUGUUGAGGUUUUGGUAAAAGUUCUUUGGAAUAGGACAUCAUAGAGGGUGAGAAUCCCGUAUUUGACCUUUACUUUCAACUUUGUGAUACACUUUCAAAGAGUCGGAUUGUUUGGGAAUGCAGUCCAAAAUGGGUGGUAAAUUUCAUCUAAAGCUAAAUAUUGGCGAGAGACCGAUAGCGAACAAGUACCGUGAGGGAAAGAUGAAAAGAACUUUGAAAAGAGAGUUAAACAGUACGUGAAAUUGUCAAAAGGGAAGCGUUUGACACCAGUGUUGUUUUUCUGAAAAUCAAUUAAAGAACUGUUUAUGCUAAGUUGUUUAGACUUUAUCAGCUAACUGUUUAGUUUUGAGCCUUUUCUUUAAUGCACUUUUCAGUUAACAAGUCAACAUCAAUUUCUUUUGCUGUAAAAAAGCUUGAGGAAGGUGGCUUGAGAUUCGUCUUAAGUGUUUAUAGCCUCUUGCCUAUGCAGUCGGAGAGAUUGAGGUCUGCAGCGUAGAUCCUUCGGGGCUAAAUGCAUUUGUGCUAAGUUAUAGCAUUUUAUAGACAACUUGUUGACUAUGAUUUGUCUUGUAGCUUACUCGCUUAUGUUAUUUUACCUACGCUUAGGAUGUUGACGCAUGAGAUAUACGC